rnacentral:misc_RNA from 1 species
GUGAACGCCCUCACGGGCUUAUACUAUUCCAAACCUCUGUGAACCGUGCCCUUCGGGGCUAUUUUACAAACAUGGUGUAAUGAACGUCAUAUAUCAUAACAAAAC